CCGGGCCUGGGCGCGCUCCGGUAACGGCUGCCGGCGGCUGUUGGCGCCGCCUCGCGAGGGGGGAGCGUGUCCCCUCCCCCCCUCCCCAAAAUCGCCCUUUUCCGUGUGAUUUUUCCCUUCCCUUUGGAGGCUGCCGCCUCCCCCGGCUGCGCUCACGGGUUUUGUUCUUCCUCGCUUGCAGUUGAGCAAUUUGCACCUGAAGGAGGAGAAAACCAAACCGGAUUCCAAUGGUGCCGUUGUCAAGACGGAUGACAACGUGGAGAAGACGGAGGAUGAGGAAAAAGGAUGGAUGAUCUUGUAUCCUGCCC
rnacentral:lncRNA from 1 species